rnacentral:rRNA from 1 species
GACAGAGGCCUCGAGCGUUAGGCGGAAUCACUGGGCUUAAAGCGUGUGUAGGCGGGCCCGUAAGUGUCUUGUGAAAUCCCACGGCUCAACCGUGGAACUGCUGGGCAUACUGCGGGUCCUGGGCCAACUAGGGGCAGCCGGAACAAGCGGUGGAGCGGUGAAAUGCGUAGAUAUCGCUUGGAACGCCGAAGGUGAAAACAGGCUGCUGGGGUUGCGCCGACGCUGAGACACGAAAGCCAGGGGAGCAAACGGG